UACGUAGGGUGCAAGCGUUAAUCGGAAUUACUGGGCGUAAAGCGUGCGCAGGCGGUUCGCUAAGACAGAUGUGAAAUCCCCGGGCUUAACCUGGGAACUGCAUUUGUGACUGGCGGGCUAGAGUAUGGCAGAGGGGGGGUAGAAUUCCACGUGUAGCAGUGAAAUGCGUAGAGAUGUGGAGGAAUACCGAUGGCGAAGGCAGCCCCCUGGGCCAAUACUGACGCUCAUGCACGAAAGCGUGGGGAUCAAACAGG
rnacentral:rRNA from 1 species